rnacentral:rRNA from 1 species
AGAGUUUGAUCAUGGCUCAGAAUCAACGCUGGCGGCGCGCUUAACACAUGCAAGUCGAGCGAGAAAGGGGAGCAAUCCCUGAGUACAGCGGCGUACGGGUGAGUAACACGUGGGUUAUCUACCUUCUAGUGGGGAAUAACCUUGGGAAACCGAGGCUAAUACCGCAUAAUCCUGUAAAGGGAAAGCAGCAAUGCGCUGGA